CAUUCGUGAUGGGGAUCGGGGAUUGCAAUUAUUCCCCAUGAACGAGGAAUUCCCAGUAAGUGCGGGUCAUAAGCUUGCGUUGAUUAAGUCCCUGCCCUUUGUACACACCGCCCGUCGCUACUACCGAUUGGAUGGUUUAGUGAGGCCCUCGGAUCGGCCCCGCCGGGGUCGGCCCACGGCCCUGGCGGAGCGCUGAGAAGACGGUCGAACUUGACUAUCUAGAGGAAGUAAAAGUCGUAACAAGGUAACC
rnacentral:rRNA from 1 species